UUGAACUUAAGUUUGUGGUGUUUUUGAACUUGAGAUUGUGGUUUUUUUUAACUUGAGGUUGUGGAAAUUGUUAAACUUGAGAAUUGGGUAUUGGUUGAACUUAAAUUUUUUGUUUUUGAACUUAAGUCUGUGUUGUGUUUAAACUUGUUUGUGGUGAGUUUGAACUUGAGUUUGUGUGUUUGUUGAACUUGAGGUUGUGGUAAUUUUUUAACUUGAAAUUUGGGUGUUGGUUGAACUUGAGUUUGUGUCGUGUUUGAACUUGAGUUCAUGUUGUUUGUUUUGAGUUUCUGUUGUUUUUUUACUUGAGGUUGUGGAAAUUGUGAAACUUGAGAAUCAGGUGUUGGUUGAACUUGAGUUUGUGGUUUUUGUUGAACUUGAGUUAUUGUGUUUUUUGAACUUAAGUUUGUGUUGUGUUUGAACUUGAGAUUGUGUCAUGUUUGCAAUUGAGUUUGUGGUGUUUUUGAACUUGAGUUUGUGUGUUUGUUGAACUUAAGUUUUUGUUGUGUUUGAACUUGAGUUUGUGGUGUUUCUUGAGCUUGAGUUUGUGUCAUGUUUGCACUUGAGUUUGUGGUGUUUUUGAACUUGAUUUUGUUAGUUUGUUGAACUUGAGUUUGUGGUCUUUUUGAACUUGAGUUUGUGUGUUUGUUGAACUUGAGUUUUUGUUGUGUUUGAACUUGAGUUUGUGGUGUUUGUUGAACUUGAGUUUGUGUCAUGUUUGAACUUGAGUUUGUGGUGAUUUUGAACUUGAUUUUGUUUGUUUAUUGAACUUUAGUUUGUGAAAUUUGUUGAACUUGAGUUGGUGGUGUUUCUGAACUUGAGUUUGUGUCGUGUUUGAACUUGUGUUUGUCAUGUUUUUGAACUUGAGUUUGUGGUGUAUUUGAACUUGAGGGUGUGGAAUUUGUUGAACUUGAGGUUGUGGCAAUUGUUAAACUUGAGUUUGUGUUUAAGUUGAACUUGAGUUUGUGUGGUUGUUGAACUUAAGGUUGUGGCAAUUGUUAAACUUUAGAUUUGGUUGUUGAUUGAACUAUAGUUUGUGUCGUGUUUGAACUUGAGUUUGUGGUUUGUUGAACUUGAGUUUGUGUCAUGUUUGAACUUGAUUUUUUGGUGUUUUUGAACUUGAGUUUGUGUUGUGUUUGAACUUGAGUUUGUGUUGUGUUAUUGAACUUGAGUUUGUUUCGGAUUUGAACUUGAGGGUGUGGAAUUUGUUGAACUUGAGGUUGUGGCAAUUGUUAAACUUGAGUUUGUGUUUAAGUUGAACUUAAGUUUGUAUUGUUUUUGAACAUGAGUUUGUUUCAUGUUUUGAAUUUGAGUUUGUGGCAUUUGUUGAACUUGAGUUUGUGUGGUUGUUGAACUUAAGGUUGUGGCAAUUGUUAAACUUUAGAUUUGGUUGUUGAUUGAACUAUAGUUUGUGUCGUGUUUGAACUUGAGUUUGUGGUUUUUGUUGAACUUGAGUUUGUGUCAUGUUUGAACUUGAUUUUUUGGUGUUUUUGAACUUGAGUUUGUGUUGUGUUUGAACUUGAGUUUGUGUUGUGUUAUUGAACUUGAGUUUGUUUCGGAUUUGAACUUGAGGGUGUGGAAUUUGUUGAACUUGAGGUUGUGGCAAUUGUUAAACUUGAGUUUGUGUUUAAGUUGAACUUAAGUUUUUGUUGUUUUUGAACAUGAGUUUGUUUCAUGUUUUGAACUUGAGUUUGUGGCAUUUGUUGAACUUGAGUUUGUGUGGUUGUUGAACUUAAGGUUGUGGCAAUUGUUAAACUUUAGAUUUGGUGGUUGAUUGAACUAUAGUUUGUAUCGUGUUUGAACUUGAGUUUGUGGUUUUUGUUGAACUUGAGUUUGUGUCAUGUUUGAACUUGAUUUUUUGGUGUUUUUGAACUUGAGUUUAUGUUGUGUUUGAACUUGAGUUUGCGGCGUUUGUUGAACUUGAGUUUGUGUGGUUUUUUAACUCAAGGUUGUGGCAAUUGUUAAACUUGAGAUUUGGUUGUUGAUUGAACUAUAGUUUGUGUCGUGUUUGAACUUGAGUUUGCUUGUAUUUGGACUUGAGUUUGUGGUUUUUGUUCAACUUAAGUUUGUGUCGUGUUUGAACUUGAGUUUGUGGUUUUUGUUGAACUUGAGUUUGUGUUGUGUUAUUGAACAUGAGUUUGUGGUGUUUUUGAACUUGAGUUUGUUUGGUGUUUGAACUUGAGUUUGUGGCGUUUUUUGAACUUGAGUUUGUGUCAUGUUUGAACUUGUGUUUGUCAUUUUUUUGAACUUGAGUUUGUGGUGUUUUUGAACUUGAGGGUGUGGAAUUUGUUAAACUUGAGAAUUGGGUAGUGGUUGAACUUGAGUUUGUGUGUUUGUUGAACUUGAGUUUGUUUCGUUUUUGAACUUGAGUUUGUGUGAAUGUUGAAUUUGAUUAUGUGGGUUUUUUGACUUGAGUAUGUUUCAUGUUUUAACUUGAGUUUGUGGCGUUUGUUGAAAUUGACUGUGUGUUUGUUGAACUUGAGGUUGUGGCAAAUGUUAAACUUGAUAUUUGGGUGUUGGUUGAACUUAAGUUUGUGUCGUAUUUGAACUUGAGUUUGUGUGGUUGUUGAACUUAAGGUUGUGGCAAUUGUUAAACUUUAGAUUUGGUUGUUGAUUGAACUAUAGUUUGUGUCGUGUUUGAACUUGAGUUUGUGGUUUUUGUUGAACUUGAGUUUGUGUCAUGUUUGAACUUGAUUUUUUUGGUGUUUUUGAACUUGAGUUUGUGUUGUGUUUGAACUUGAGUUUGUGUUGUGUUAUUGAACUUGAGUUUGUUUCGGAUUUGAACUUGAGGGUGUGGAAUUUGUUGAACUUGAGGUUGUGGCAAUUGUUAAACUUGAGUUUGUGUUUAAGUUGAACUUAAGUUUGUGUUGUUUUUGAACAUGAGUUUGUUUCAUGUUUUGAACUUGAGUUUGUGGCAUUUGUUGAACUUGAGUUUGUGUGGUUGUUGAACUUAAGGUUGUGGCAAUUGUUAAACUUUAGAUUUGGUGGUUGAUUGAACUAUAGUUUGUAUCGUGUUUGAACUUGAGUUUGUGGUUUUUGUUGAACUUGAGUUUGUGUCAUGUUUGAACUUGAUUUUUUGGUGUUUUUGAACUUGAGUUUAUGUUGUGUUUGAACUUGAGUUUGCGGCGUUUGUUGAACUUGAGUUUGUGUGGUUUUUUAACUCAAGGUUGUGGCAAUUGUUAAACUUGAGAUUUGGUUGUUGAUUGAACUAUAGUUUGUGUCGUGUUUGAACUUGAGUUUGCUUGUAUUUGGACUUGAGUUUGUGGUUUUUGUUCAACUUAAGUUUGUGUCGUGUUUGAACUUGAGUUUGUGGUGUUUGUUGAACUUGAGUUUGUGUUGUGUUAUUGAACAUGAGUUUGUGGUGUUUUUGAACUUGAGUUUGUUUGGUGUUUGAACUUGAGUUUGUGGCGUUUUUUGAACUUGAGUUUGUGUCAUGUUUGAACUUGUGUUUGUCAUUUUUUUGAACUUGAGUUUGUGGUGUUUUUGAACUUGAGGGUGUGGAAUUUGUUAAACUUGAGAAUUGGGUAGUGGUUGAACUUGAGUUUGUGUGUUUGUUGAACUUGAGUUUGUUUGUUUUUUGAACUUGAGUUUGUGUGAAUGUUGAAUUUGAUUAUGUGGGUUUUUUUGACUUGAGUAUGUUUCAUGUUUUAACUUGAGUUUGUGGCGUUUGUUGAAAUUGACUGUGUGUUUGUUGAACUUGAGGUUGUGGCAAAUGUUAAACUUGAUAUUUGGGUGUUGGUUGAACUUAAGCUUGUGUCGUAUUUGAACUUGAGUUUGUGGUGUGUUUGAACUUGAGUGUGUGGCAAUUGUUGAAAUUGAAUCUGUGGUUUUUAGUGAACUUUAAUUGGUGGCAAUUGUUGAACUUGAGUUUGUGGCAUUUUUUGAACUUGAGUUUGUUGUGUGUUUAAACUUGAGUUUGUGUGUUUGUUGAACUUGAGGUUGUGCCAAUUGUUAAACUUGAGAUUUGGGUGUUGGUUGAACUUGAGUUUGUGUCAUGUUUGAACUUGAGUUUGUUGUUUGUUGAACUUGAGUUUCUGUUGUUUUUGAACAAGAGGUUGUUGAAUUUGUUAAACUUGAGAAUCAGCUAUUGGUUGAACUAGAGUUUGUGUGUUUGUUGAAAUUGAUUCUGUGUUGUUUCUCAACUUGAGUUUUUGGCGUUUUUGAACUUGAGUUUGUUUGUUUUUUGAACUUCAGUUUGUGUUGUGUUUGAACUUGAGUUUGUGGAAUUUUUUAACUUGAUUUUGUGUUUUUGUUGAUCUUGAGUUUGUUUGAUUGUUGACCUUGAGUUUGUGUCGUGUUUGAACUUGAGUUUGUCGUGUUUGAACUUGAGUUUUGUCAUGUUUGAACUUGAGUUUGUUGUGUAUUUGAUCUUGAGUUUGUGGUGUUUUUGAACUUGAGGGUGUGGUUUUUGAACUUGAGGGUGUGUUUGUUGAACUUGACUUUGGGUCUUGGUUGAACUCUAGUUUGUGUUGUGUUUGAACUAUAGUUUGUUGAACUUGAUUUUGUGUCGUGUUUACAAUUGAGUUUGUGGUGUUUUUGAACUUGAAUUUGUGUGUUUGUUGAACUUGAGUUUGUGUUGUGUUUGAACUUGAGUUUGUGGUGUUUGUUGAACUUGAGUUUGUGGUGUUUUUGAACUUGAAUUUGCGUGUUUGGUGAACUUGAGUUUGUGUUUUUUUGAACUUGAGUUUCUGUUGUUUUUGAACUUGAGGUUGUGGCAAUUGUUAAACAUGAGAGUCAGGUGUUUUUGGUUGAACUUGAGAUUGUGUGUUUGUUGAACUUGAGUAUGUUUCAUGUUUGAACUUGAGUUUGUGGCGUUUUUGUGCUUGAGUCUGUGUUUUUUUUUAACUUGAGGUUGUGGAAAUUGUUAAACUUGAGAAAUGGGUAUUGGUUGAACUUGAGUUUUUGGUGUUUUUCAACUUGAGUUUGUGUCGUUUUUGAACCUGAGUUGGUGUCGUUUUUGAUCUUAAAGUUGUGGAAAUUGUUUAACUUGAGAAUUAGGAGUUGGUUGAAUUUGAGUUUGUGUGUUUGUUGAAUUUGAGUUUGUGUCAUGUUUCAACUUGAGUUUGUGGUGUUUUUGAACUUCAGUUUGUGUGUUUGUUGAACUUCAGUGUGUGUUGUGUUUGAAGUCGAGUUUGUGGUGUUUUUGAACUUGAUUUUGUGUUUUUGUUGAACUUGAGUUUGUUUGAUUGUUGAACUUGAGUUUGUGUCGUGUUUGAACUUGAGUUUGUCGUGUUUGAACUUGAGAUUCUUGUGUUUUUGAACUUGAGUUUGUGGUGUUUUUGAACUUGAGUAUGUGGUGUUUUUGAACUUGAGGGUGUGGUGUUUUUGAACUUGAGGGUGUGGAAUUUGUUAAACUUGAGAUUUGGGUCUUGGUUGAACUUGAGUUUGUGGUGUGUUUGAACUUGAGUUUGUGUGUAUGUUUUUACUUGAGGUUGUGGCAAUUUUUAAACUUGAGAUUUGGGUGUUGGUUGAACUUGAAUUUGUUUCGUGUUUGAACUUGAGUUUGUGGUGUGUUUAAACUUGAGUUUGGUUAAUUGUUGAACUUGAGGUUGUGGCAAUUGUUAAACUUGAGAUUUGGGUUCUGGUUAAACUUGAGUUUGUGUUUUUGUUGAACUUGAGGUUUUGGCAAUUAUUAAUCUUGAAUCUGUGGUUUUUAGUGAACUUUAAUUGGUUGCAAUUGUUAAACUUGAGUUUGUCGCGUUGGUUGAACUUGAGUUUGUUUGUUUCUUUGAACUUGAGGUUGUGGUGUUUUGGAACUUGAUUUUGUUCCGUUUUUGAACUUGAGUUUGUGGUGUUUUUUGAACUUGAGUUUGUGAUGUGUUUCAACUUGAGUCUGUGUGUUUGUUGAACUUGAGUUUUUUGUGUUUGAACUUGAGUUUGUGGUGAUUUUGAACUUGAGUAUGUUUCGCGUUUGAACUUGAGUUUGUGGUGUGUGUUGAACUUGAGUUUUGUCAUGUUUGAACUUGAGUUUCUUGUGUAUUUGAUCUUGAGUUUGUGGUGUUUUUGAACUUGAGGGUGUGGUGUUUUUGAACUUGACUUUGUGUGUUUGUUGAACUUGACUUUGUGUGUUAUUUGAACUCUAGUUUGUGUUGUGUUUGAACUUGAGUUUGUGGUGUUUGUUGAACUUGAGUUUGUGGUGUUUUUGAACUUGAAUUUGCGUGUUUGGUGAACUUGAGUUUCACAUUUUACAUUUUUGUUGGUGUAACCAACUCCAAAAGGUUGGAAAAGAGUUCCUACAAAGGUUUUGGACAGUGAUUUUAACCCUAAUGCCAAAAACCUUAAACCUUACCAUAGCCCCAUAACCUAAUACCCGGGUAUUACAUUCAGGAAGCCUGAACACCCCAAAUAUUUUUUUUUCAUUUUUCUUUUUUUUUUUGUCUAACUAACUCCAAAAGGUUGGAAAAGAGUUCCUACAAAGGUUUUGGACAGUGAUUUUAACCCUAACCCCAAAAAAUUUAAACCUUACCAUAGCCCCAUAAUUUAAUUCCCAGGUAUUACCUUCAGGAAGCCCGAACACCCCAAAUAUUUUUUUUUCAUUUUACAUUUUUGUUGGUGUAACCAACUCCAAAAGGUUGGAAAAGAGUUCCAACAAAGGUUUUGGACAGUGAUUUCAACCCUAAUGCCAAAAACCUUAAACCUUUCCCAAGCCCCA